UGUUACAUUACAAUUAGAUUUUGAGCCUUUUUUGUUAUGUGUGCAAUAUUCAAACACCAAACGUCAACACAUCACCUCACUGGGAACACGAUCUUGAAAACAAAUGAGAAGAAAAAAUUGUUUGCCCUCGGCCGGCCACUGAACGAAAAGCAGCUACAUCCGCUUCGCAUCACGGCACACGAACAUCAGCAUCGAUCGGACGGAGAGUGAAGAAAGUCGAGUUGCAUGCCGGAGUGGGUGAAGUGUUGUCCGUCGAAAACAGUCGGUGCAAGUGAAUUCUUGGAGCCUCACUCGGAGUGCAGGAAGAGUGUAUAAAUUAAAAGCCACUCACAACUUCAAACCCGCUAAUUGUCCCCUGCAAGUGGCCAGCAUCCGCGGAAUACCGAAUCCUUCAUCUCGAGAGCACACCACGAAAAACUGGCGUGGUUUCGCACAGAAAAUCAACCGCGACGAGCACGGCCAAGUGACUGCGGGAGCGAUCAUUGUGCGUCUUUGGAUAACCGGACACGCACAGAACUGUCCCGGGAGGAACACCCGGGGAAUCCAGGUCGAAACCGUUCCCAUCGAAUGUGGAUGUGCAGCUUGGAUGCGAGCAUAACCUCGUGUGACGGGCACAAUUUGAGUGCGUAGGUGUUAAAUUGCGAUCCAGCGAUAGCAUCCGGCAGACGACAUCAUCUGAGAGACGACAGCACUGCCCAGCGGUACGACGAUUGACAUUGUAGUUGCACGAUAGUCGGAGCACAACAGCAUCUUCCCAAAUUGUGCGGAAAGCAGCAGUGGAACCUGAUCAACGGUGCCUCUUCGAAAAACGAUCUUGUAGACUGGCAGAUCGACAUCCGGGAAACCGCCAGAGCUGCAGGUAGCUAGAAAAGCCUUCACAGAGAAGUGAGUGUACCGAAACUGCCUUGAUUCCUGGCCUCGUUGCUAAUUUUGGAUGUUC